ensembl:lncRNA
GGAAAGCAGUGAGACCUCGGAGGCACAGAGAAAGAGAUGUACACUCGCGUUUAAGGGUCCACAAAAAUAGUGUUUUCUUCAGAGAAGAAAAACAGUUACCAUUUUCCUGUUUACACUCGUUCUGUGUUCUGUGCCGCAGGAUUCCGUAAAAAGGGAUGUCUGUAAGGGCCCUGAGGAGACAUACAGAGGGACAGCGAGAACAAAAAGCUGUCCAGCAGAAUGAGUUGUCUAGCGCCCCUGCUGGUGUAAUGCUGCACCUAACACCUACUAUUUCUGAGGCAUUGUGAUGGUUUAAGCGUCUCUGAGACUCUUUUAUUAUUAUUAUUAUUAUUAUUAUUCGGUUGAUUCAUAUGAAGAGAUUUUUUAAUGACGUGAGGUUUUAGAUAUUUUUUGAUAGUUUUAAAAAUAAACGUUUGUAAAUUCUACAUAUUUUUCUACAUUUGAACCUGUUUCUCACCAUGGUAGCUGGCAUGGUGUUAAAUUACUAACAAAUAAACAAACAAGCACUC